rnacentral:rRNA from 1 species
GACGAACGCUGGCGGCGUGCCUAAUACAUGCAAGUCGAACGCAGUUGCGCACGGGUGAGUAUCGCGUAGGUAACUGCCUCAUCCCGAGGGCUAACUCUUGGAAACGCUACCUAAUACCGCCUACUGUGAGCUGGACCUGCGUUGUAUUAGCUAGUUGGUGAGGUAAAGGCUCACCAAGGCGACGAUACAUAGCCGACCUGAGAGUGGGAGCGGCCAAACUGGGACUGAGACACGGCCCAGACGACUACGGGAGGAAGCAGUAGGGAAUCUUCGGCAAUGGACGGAAGUCUGACCGAGCAACGAAGAGUGAGUGAAGAAGGUUGUAGGAUCGUAAAGCUCUGUUGUGAGAGAAGCGGUAACUAACCAGAAAGGGACGGCUAACUACGGGCCAGCCGCAGCGGUAAUUC